rnacentral:misc_RNA from 1 species
CGAAGAAGGCGUGAAGAAAGCUGAUGAGAUCGCAGCCGUUGAUGGGGUUGACUGCAUACAAAUGGGGCCGUUGGAUCUGAGUGCAAGCAUGGGUUACCUUUGGGACCCGGGGCACAAGAAAGUAAGGGAGAUGAUGAGGGUAGCAGAGAAGGCAGUGCUGGGGUCCAACCCUGCGAGCGGAGGUGGGGCCUACUUGGCAGGGUUUUCAUUGCCGCAUGAUGCGCCCACUAAUAUGAAAUCACGUGGAUAUCACAUGGUAUCAGGUACAGUUGAUGUGGGAUUGUUUAGGAGUGCUGCUGUGGAAGAUGUGAAGAGCUUUAAGAUGAGUUUGGUUGAAGGGUCCGAUGACGACGGGGAGGGCGGUAAAGAAUCUGCUGAUGAGAAGUACUGGAGCGAAUAAUUUCUUUUUUUUUUUUUUUUUGGAAUUUUUUAG